GUUCCUUUAGCUGCUUUUCCAGUUCAAUUUAAGCUAUAACAUGACCAUUGUGUGAUGUAAAAAUAUCAAAUGAGACAGUUUAAAGAUGUCUAUACAUUCAUGAUUCAGCUCAGAGCACAAUAUUCCAUGGCCAUGGCUUAAAUUAUAGAGAAAAGCCAGUGAGACAACUUCCUACUUCUGUUUUAUUCCUACUUUUCACUAACCCCAAACUUUUUAUUGGCAGCAGGUAUACUGGGAGGGACAUGUUGGAAAUAUCUAGCUGUUUACAUAAAUUUUCACUUGUUGAUAACAGCAUAAAAAAAGCUCUUGUUCACUUAUGUUUUUGUUUUGAUGCUGGAAUGCAAGAGAGAAAUGAAUAGGAGGUUCUUAGUGACAGUCCUUUAUUGCAAUAGGAUGAUGUAUGGGUGAUAGAGGCCAGCUGGUCAUAUGCACCUUUUUCCAAAAAUAUGUGUAGCUUUGGGAAGAGGGAAUUUAUUAGAUUACCAAGCUUUAUGAAGCAUACUCAUACUUGGGCAAGCCUAAGUAUGAACUUAGUACAAAGCCACGGCCUGGCUUGGACAAGAUGGAACUGUAGAUCCCUGUACAACUUUUUAUAUACACUAACUCAUAAAUGUAAAAGCUUCUGAUCCAAAACUGCUUCUCAAAACUUAACUUUCUCCAAGAAGCAUUCUAAAGAAGUGUUCUCUAUUUCUGAAACAAAGAGUUUGUGUAUAUGAUCAUCACUUUUAUUUCUACUAGUCAGUUGGAGCCAUAUACAUUAAAGGUCUUAUACAUUUAGGUUUACCUAGCUGUUCCAGGAUUUGAUAUCUAUAUCCCUGAU
rnacentral:lncRNA from 1 species